rnacentral:rRNA from 1 species
UACCUCAGUAACGGCGAGUGAAGCGGUAACAGCUCAAAUUUGAAAUCUGGCUCUUUUAGGGUCCGAGUUGUAAUUUGUAGAAGAUGCUUCGGGUGUGGCCCCGGUCUAAGUUCCUUGGAACAGGACGUCAUAGAGGGUGAGAAUCCCGUAUGUGACUGGGUGCUUUCGCCUAUGUGAAGCUCUUUCGACGAGUCGAGUUGUUUGGGAAUGCAGCUCAAAAUGGGUGGUAAAUUUCAUCUAAAGCUAAAUAUUGGCCAGAGACCGAUAGCGCACAAGUAGAGUGAUCGAAAGAUGAAAAGCACUUUGGAAAGAGAGUUAAACAGUACGUGAAAUUGUUGAAAGGGAAGCGCUUGCAACCAGACUUGCACGUUGUCGAUCAUCCGGGGUUCUCCCCGGUGCACUCGAUCUCGUUCAGGCCAGCAUCGGUUUUGGUGGUGGGAUAAAGGCCUUGGGAAUGUAGCUUCUUUCGGGGAGUGUUAUAGCCCUCGGUGCAAUGCCGCCUACCGGGACCGAGGACCGCGCUUCGGCUAGGAUGCUGGCGUAAUGGUUGUAAGCGACCCGUCUUGAAACACGGACC